GGCAACGUGACGGAGUGGUUAACGUGCUGCCCUCGAAAGGCAGUUCCUUCGGGAGCACAGGUUCGAAUCCUGUCGUUGUCG